rnacentral:rRNA from 1 species
AGUUGCGAAGGCGGCUCUCUGGACUGUAACUGACGCUGAGGCACGAAAGCGUGGGGAGCAAACAGGAUUAGAUACCCUGGUAGUCCACGCUGUAAACGAUGAGUACUAGGUGUCGGGGGUUACCCCCUUCGGUGCCGCAGCUAACGCAUUAAGUACUCCGCCUGGGAAGUACGCUCGCAAGAGGGAAACUCAAAGGAAUUGACGGGGACCCGCACAAGUAGCGGAGCAUGUGGUUUAAUUCGAAGCAACGCGAAG